rnacentral:rRNA from 1 species
UACGGGGGGGGCAAGCGUUGUUCGGAAUUACUGGGCGUAAAGGGUUCGUAGGUGGCCACUUAAGUCAGACGUGAAAUCCCUCAGCUUAACUGGGGAACUGCGUCUGAUACUGAGUGGCUUGAGUGCAGGAGAGGGAUGCGGAAUUCCAGGUGUAGCGGUGAAAUGCGUAGAUAUGCGGAGGAACACCGAUGGCGAAGGCAAUCCCCUGGGCCUGUACUGACGCUCAUGCACGAAAGCGUGGGGAGCAAACAGG